rnacentral:tRNA from 1 species
AAGGGUUUAGGUUAUUCAGACCAAGGGCCUUCAAAGCCCUAAGAAGAUAAUAUUUAAUCUAACCCUUG